AGUUACCUAGCUAAGAAGCAAUAUGUUUUGAAAACAUAUAAAAGAAGUUUAACUCUUCUAGUAACUU
rnacentral:tRNA from 1 species